GAUGAACGCUGGCGGCGUGCCUAAUACAUGCAAGUCGAGCGAAUGGAUUAAGAGCUUGCUCUUAUGAAGUUAGCGGCGGACGGGUGAGUAACGCGUGGGUAACCUGCCCAUAAGACUGGGAUAACUCCGGGAAACCGGGGCUAAUACCGGAUAAUAUUUUGAACUGCAUGGUUCAAAAUUGAAAGGCGGCUUCGGCUGUUACUUAUGGAUGGACCCGCGUCGCAUUAGCUAGUUGGUGAGGUAACGGCUCACCAAGGCAACGAUGCGUAGCCGACCUGAGAGGGUGAUCGGCCACACUGGGACUGAGACACGGCCCAGACUCCUACGGGAGGCAGCAGUAGGGAAUCUUCCGCAAUGGACGAAAGUCUGACGGAGCAACGCCGCGUGAGUGAUGAAGGCUUUCGGGUCGUAAAACUCUGUUGUUAGGGAAGAACAAGUGCUAGUUGAAUAAGCUGGCACCUUGACGGUACCUAACCAGAAAGCCACGGCUAACUACGUGCCAGCAGCCGCGGUAA
rnacentral:rRNA from 1 species